rnacentral:rRNA from 1 species
AGAGCGAACGCUGGCGGCAGGCCUAACACAUGCAAGUCGAACGGACUCUUCGGAGUUAGUGGCGGACGGGUGAGUAACACGUGGGAACGUGCCUUUAGGUUCGGAAUAGCUCCUGGAAACGGGUGGUAAUACCGAAUGUGCCCUUCGGGGGAAAGAUUUAUCGCCUUUAGAGCGGCCCGCGUCUGAUUAGCUUGUUGGUGAGGUAAUGGCUCACCAAGGCUACGAUCAGUAGCUGGUCUGAGAGGAUGAACCAGCCACA